rnacentral:lncRNA from 1 species
AUGCUGGCUACUCUUCUGGAAAAUCCCUUGAGAGGCAGGCUGAUGAAUGAAAAAGCUGCUGUACAACCAUUAAGAUCUUCCCCUGGGAAUGAAGAUAAGAGGAUGAAAUGGUGUGAUGAACACAAAGCUUUCCACAAUCGCCUAGACAUUGUGGAAGAGACCCUGGACAAGACUGUGGAACACCUGGAGUCUGAAGUAAAGAACCUGCUUAACCUGAUGAAUUCGAUAGCCUGGAACUUGCCCCCAGCGUCUGGGAGCCCCACCGAGAACUUCUUAGGAGACGGAGGAAAACUAGACAUGACUGGAUCUUGCCGUCUCUUCAGCUUUGCUGAUGAGCAAGGGAAGCUCCCGGCAGACAAGGAAGAGGAUGCAGGGGGAGGGGAGAUGUGGUAA